UGGCCAGACUCCUACGGGAGGCAGCAGUGGGGAAUAUUGCACAAUGGGGGAAACCCUGAUGCAGCAACGCCGCGUGAGUGAAGAAGUAUUUCGGUCUGUAAAGCUCUAUCAGCAGGGAAGAAAAUGACGGUACCUGAGUAAGAAGCCCCGGCUAACUACGUGCCAGCAGCCGCGGUAAUACGUAGGGGGCAAGCGUUAUCCGGAUUCACUGGGUGUAAAGGGAGCGUAGACGGCGACGCAAGUCUGGAGUGAAAGCCCGGGGCCCAACCCCGGGACUGCUCUGGAAACUGCGUCGCUGGAGUACGGGAGGGGCAGGCGGAAUUCCUGGUGUAGCGGUGAAAUGCGUAGAUAUCAGGAGGAACACCGGCGGCGAAGGCGGCCUGCUGGACCGUGACUGACGUUGGGGCUCGAGAGCGUGGGGAGCAAACAGGAUUAGAUACCCCAGUA
rnacentral:rRNA from 1 species